UGACAAUUCUCGGGCACAGGUUGCCCAAUCUUAGGCUAGAAGAGCUUAAUCAGCUAUUUUAUGUCCUCUUUGUCCAAUCUGUGGAUGUCUUUAUCAGGGUAAUUAUGAGGAAAUAAGGAGCAAGUGCUUUAAGUGUGGCCAGGUAAGCCAUCUGCUCAGGGAUUAUUUUGUCAAUAAGGUUGCUACGGGGGCAAAUAAGAUUUCUGUGGCUUUAUCUUCUGCUCCUACACCUAGUGGUGUUGCAUCCGC
rnacentral:lncRNA from 1 species